AUUGAACGCUGGCGGCAUGCUUUACACAUGCAAGUCGGACGGCAGCACAGAGAAGCUUGCUUCUUGGGUGGCGAGUGGCGAACGGGUGAGUAACAUAUCGGAACGUACCGGGCAGUGGGGGAUAACUAAUCGAAAGAUUAGCUAAUACCGCAUAUCUUCUGAGGAAGAAAGCAGGGGACCAUUUGGCCUUGCGCUGUUUGAGCGGCCGAUAUCUGAUUAGCUAGUUGGUGGGGUAAAGGCCUACCAAGGCGACGAUCAGUAGCGGGUCUGAGAGGAUGAUCCGCCACACUGGGACUGAGACACGGCCCAGACUCCUACGGGAGGCAGCAGUGGGGAAUUUUGGACAAUGGGCGCAAGCCUGAUCCAGCCAUGCCGCGUGUCUGAAGAAGGCCUUCGGGUUGUAAAGGACUUUUGUCAGGGAAGAAAAGGGCGGGGUUAAUACCCCUGUCUGAUGACGGCACCUGAAGAAUAAGCACCGGCUAACUACGUGCCAGCAGCCGCGGUAAUACGUAGGGUGCGAGCGUUAAUCGGAAUUACUGGGCGUAAAGCGGGCGCAGACGGUUACUUAAGCAGGAUGUGAAAUCCCCGGGCUCAACCUGGGAACUGCGUUCUGAACUGGGUGACUAGAGUGUGUCAGAGGGAGGUAGAAUUCCACGUGUAGCAGUGAAAUGCGUAGAGAUGUGGCGGAAUACCGAUGGCGAAGGCAGCCUCCUGGGAUAACACUGACGUUCAUGCCCGAAAGCGUGGGUAGCAAACAGG
rnacentral:rRNA from 1 species